UGGGCAACCUGCCCCUCUCUCUGGGAUAACCCCGGGAAACCGGAGCUAAUACCGGAUACUCCGGCUGGAUCGCAUGGUCCGGCCGGGAAAGGUCCGCCGGAGAGGGAUGGGCUCGCGGCCUAUCAGCUUGUUGGUGAGGUAACGGCUCACCAAGGCGACGACGGGUAGCUGGUCUGAGAGGAUGGCCAGCCACAUUGGGACUGAGACACGGUCCAGACUCCUACGGGAGGCA
rnacentral:rRNA from 1 species